GGGGAAAAAAAAAAAGAGAGAGAGAGAGAGAGAGAAAAAAAAGUAUGAAACUCGGCUCAGAAAAGCGUGGACAAGGGAAACCGGAGGGAAUUCGUCGCACAGAGAAAUGUUUGGGUGGAAAAGGGGAGCAGACGGGGUCUAAUAACAGCCUCCCCCCAGCAUUUCCUCUGAGGAUAUCUCUCAUCCAAGAGAGUACAGCUUUGCCAGGGAUUGCCCCGCUCUUCACCCGCCCCUACCCGAAGUGGCACCGCGGACGAUGGGCACUGCGCUUCUUUCUGCCAAUUUGCGACUGCGGACCCCCCCCUCCCCUUUCUUUCCCCCCCCGCUUCCCUCCCCCCUGGGUCUGGGGCUGUGAUUGGGAAAGAAGUGGAGGGACCCGAGCGGAGGGUGCUGGCUUCUGAGAGUCAGGAAAAUACAAAACACGUCACAAAUAAAUGAGAACCGAAGGGUUUGGGUUAAACGCCGCCGGUAACCCGAGCGAAACGCGUAGAAGGGAUGAAGUACACGAGGUUCAUUGGCUCUGGGUUCAACAACAGGGAACGCACGAGGCCGCUUUCCUGAAGGAGUCGGGAUUAGGAAUGCGGGGGGGGUUACGGGGCGGUUCUCCGUUUGGGAUUUGGCAACAGGACGGACGGGUCGAGCCGGAACGCGCUUAGAGCCGCGCCGAGAUUUAUCAGCGCGACGUUCGCAGGAAGGGCUUAGGAAAGGGACAGAGAAGGGAAGAAAGCGAAAAAAAAAAAAAAAAAGCAAUCUCAUUUAAAAAUAUUUUCGUUUGGGGAAACAUUCGCUCGCUUUCAUAAUCCCGUUUCCGUUCUGGAUGUUGAAGUUAUUAAUCUCAAAUAAAAACGUUCCCCUCACGCCCCUACUCGGCGUGCGACAACAUCCCCGAGUCCAUAAAUCACCCUCGGAUGCUCCGUGACCUUCUCCCGUCGGCGGCCGAGAGCUGUGUUUUUUAUUAGGGUUAUUAUUACAUGCGCGCACACUUUCAUACACAGCUCUGGCAAUAUUCCGCUUCCGACUCAGUCUUGCUCGCUUAACCGGGGCUUUGCAGUUCCCUCUGCGGAGCGUACAUUUGGAACCGUGCGGAUACCAGCGAGUCCUCCAUUCUCCCUUCACUGCACAUCUCUGCAACCACCCCACAGCCACCGCCAGGCACACAGCAGAGCCACUGCCCCGUGCUAAAAUCCUCUCUUACUGUAAGGGCAUUUGAUCCGACAUCCUCAUCACCAUAUCAAAGGGCUCCAAUCUAUCCCGAGCCCUCGGUUAAUUUUUAAUUAGGAGGGAAAGCUUUGGGAACGGCAAUGUUCAACGCAGCAGAGGACACGGAGAUGGAAGUGGGGGCUUUAAAUCCUAGCUCUACUUUUAGCACGGAUGCACCUCUCUGCAACACACGUGCUGUAGGCAGAAAUAGCGCAUCCCUAUGCCCACAAAGCCUCUGGGCAGAGGUGGCAGCGUGACUCAGGGAAGAACCCGAAGAAAUCUGGGUGCUCGAUUCACAUCCACCCCAAAGACCUCAUCCCAGUGCUUCGAGAUAUCCCCAUUGCUGUGAAAUGCCACAAAGAGAAGCUGAGCUUCCAGUCCCCCCCAUCCACACCAGGAUCGGGUUCCCCAUGCUGCAAUCAUUCGUUUUUUAGGAAGAGUGGGAUAAAAGGAAACUGGAGGGAUGGAAAAAUACUCCCCCCCUCCCUCAACCCUCCUGUCCCAAAAGAGAAGUGUGAGCACCAACAACAUAUAGAUCUAUACAGCUGUAUUUCAGAAAGUGACCAUUAAUAUCAAUUUACUUCAAUGAAAACUUUGCUUCUUCAUGAAGUUGGUGAUUUAUGAUAAAAUCAAUUAAAUUAUGGCCACUUAGGGCCUGCGGUUUCUUCUCAGAUUUCAUUCGCCAACAGAUCAAGUGCUCGGCAAAAAAAAAAUAAAAAAAAAAA